GACAGAGGGUGCAAACGUUGUUCGGAAUUACUGGGCGUAAAGCGCGUGUAGGCGGCUGUGCAAGUCGGGUGUGAAAGCCCUGGGCUCAACCCAGGAAGUGCAUUCGAUACUGCGCAGCUUGAGUCCCGGAGAGGGUGGCGGAAUUCUCGGUGUAGAGGUGAAAUUCGUAGAUAUCGAGAGGAACACCGGUGGCGAAGGCGGCCACCUGGACGGUGACUGACGCUGAGACGCGAAAGCGUGGGGAGCAAACAGG
rnacentral:rRNA from 1 species